rnacentral:rRNA from 1 species
CCCUUAGAUGUUCUGGGCUGCACGCGCGCUACACUGAUACGUUCAACAAGUGUAACCUCCGCCGGCGGGUACUGGGGGAAAUCUUUUGAAAGCGUAUCGUGAUGGGGAUAGAUUAUUGGAAUUAUGGAUCUUGAACGAGGAAUGCCUAGUAAGCGCAGGUCAUUAGCCUGCGCUGAUUACGUCCCUGCCCUUUGUACACACCGCCCGUCGCUACUACCGAUUUCGAGUGGUCCGGUGAAGCUUUUGGACUGCGCAUGGCUUCGUGCCGUGUCGCGGAAAGUCAGCUAAACCUUAUCACUUAGAGGAAGUAAAANUCGUANCA